CGGCACGGGUGAGUAACACGUAUGGAACCUGCCCUAUGCAGGGGGAUAAGCGGAAGAAAUUCCGUCUAAUACCGCAUAACACCAUUUGGAGACAUCUCCAGGGGGUCAAAGGAGGCGACUCCGGCAUAGGAUGGCCAUGCGUCGCAUUAGCUAGUCGGCGGGGUAACGGCCCACCAAGGCGACGAUGCGUAGGGGUUCUGAGAGGAAGGUCCCCCACACUGGUACUGAGACACGGACCAGACUCCUACGGGAGGCAGCAG
rnacentral:rRNA from 1 species